rnacentral:rRNA from 1 species
AGAGUUUGAUCCUGGCUCAGGACGAACGCUGGCGGUGUGCUUCACACAUGCAAGUCGAACGAGGUAGCAAUACCUAGUGGCGGACGGGUGAGUAACGCGUGGGAAUCUGCCUUGAGAUGGGGGAUAGCUGGCCGAAAGGCUAAUUAAUACCGCAUAAGUGCAUAACUCGACAGAGUUUUGCAUAAAAGGAGCAAUCCGUCUCAAGAUGAGCCUGCGUCCGAUUAGCUAGUUGGUAGGGUAAAAGCCUACCAAGGCGAUGAUCGGUAGGUGGUCUGAGAGGAUGAUCACCCACAAUGGGACUGAGACACGGCCCAUACUCCUACGGGAGGCAGCAGUGGGGAAUUUUACGCAAUGGGCGAAAGCCUGACGUAGCGACACCGCGUGAGCGAAGAAGCCCUUUGGGGUGUAAAGCUCUGUCGGCUGGAACGAAAACAAUGACGGUACCAGCAAAGGAAGCAUCGGCUAACUACGUGCCAGCAGCCGCGGUAAGACGUAGGAUGCAAGCGUUGUCCGGAUUUAUUGGGCGUAAAGAGUUCGUAGGCGGUUUGUUAAGUCUGAUGUUAAAGAUCAGGGCCCAACCCUGGGAGUGCAUUGGAUACUGGCAGACUGGAGUACGGUAGAGGCGAGUGGAAUUCCUGGUGUAGCGGUGAAAUGCGUAGAUAUCAGGAAGAACACCGGUGGCGUAAGCGACUCGCUGGGCCGUUACUGACGCUGAGGAACGAAAGCCAGGGGAGCAAAUGGGAUUAGAUACCCCAGUAGUCCUGGCUGUAAACGAUGGAUACUAGGCGUAGCGGGUAUCGACCCCUGCUGUGCCGCAGCUAACGCGAUAAGUAUCCCGCCUGAGUAGUACGGCCGCAAGGUUGAAACUCAAAGGAAUUGACGGGGGCCCGCACAAGCGGUGGAACAUGUGGUUCAAUUCGAAGCAACGCGAGAUCUUACAGGCUGACAUGUGAGGACUUUCGGAAACGAGGUGCCGCAGGAGCCUCAACACAGGUGGGUGCAUGCUGUCGUCA